AAUGGGAUGGCUGAUUUAGGCAGUAAAUUGUAAAUUUAUUUAAGGUUAAUUACCUCUCAUUA
rnacentral:tRNA from 1 species